AGAGCGCGCAUCCUCUGCGCCUUGGACGCUGGCUGCUCACACUCUCCGAGGAGGCUGCGAUGGAGACACGAUGAGACUGGCGGGGUGUUUUUCGGUGGACAGUGCCUCUGGGGCGUCGUUACCUGGUGGUUUGCCGGACUGUAUUACUAGCAGAGCGACACACUGAGAAAAAGGAGUGUGUGACCAUUUUUAAAGGAUUAUUGAUUAUUGACCAUCAGCCUACAGUAACGACCGUCAGGACAACGGUGUGGAUAGCUCCCGGUGUACUCUCUGUUUUUCUUUUUGUUCAAUUUAUUUUCUAUAGCUGACACAUUUUAACGCAGUCCUGUUGGACAUUUUCCCCCCACAAAAUGUUAAAUUUAGCGCUCUUUCGACGUGGAGGAUAUCCGUGGCAAGUCAUUUUUGGCUGUUGCCGGACAAGCGUGUAAGGUGCACAAACCUGUGGACGGUUUCUCAGACAGUAUGAUACAAUAUUUUGACAUAACCAUUAUUUUUUGCGUUACGCUCUAUCGCGCAUGCCUAGUGGUAGAUAGCCUGUACAACGCUGUCCGAAGCCACUUGGCUCCGUCCUGGCCGUGAUGUAGGCGCAAAAGUAAAAGGGAGCGGAGGACUAAAUAAAAAUGCGUUGGCAAAGUGGCAACGUGGCGACCAAAGGAUUAUGACUUGAGAUCCUUUACGAAGUAGGUUUUGCCAUAAAUUGAAGAAUGUCAGGAACACCAAAUGCGGAGGCUGAAGGAGUUGUCUCCAAAGUACAAGUUAAAAAGGAGAUCAAGACAAUCGUGGAGAAUUUGGAAACCAUCCUGGGAGACCUCAAGGAUGUAGCCAAAGAGCUCAAAGAGGUUGUGCAUGAGAUUGACACCCUAACUUGUGACCUGCAACUAGAGGAGGAUGGACUGACAGACAGCUCAAAGACAGAUACACUCAACUCCAGCUCGAGUUCCACCACCACUACCACCGCUUCCAGCUUGGAAAAGAUGAAGCUUUUCCCUGAUGACUGCAUCUUUAAAACUCCUGUGCCCAUCAACCCAGUCAUUGGCAUCCCUCCUGCAGUACUGACAGUACUCAAGAAACCCCACCCACCCCUACCACCACCAAGACUUACCCCGCUAAGAGCCGAGGAUCACAACAAUAAGAAUCUGCCUCAUCCGACAUUAGUGUUAUCAGGGAGUAUAUCCAAGGCUAACGGGUCUCUGCUGAGGAAUGGCGGGAUUUUCCCACUGAGAGCAAACAGGGAUUUAUUCUCCUCCACACCUUGCUUCAUUUCUAGUGACAGCGGGAUCCCUGAGUCGGGGCUUGUUCCUACAUUGCCCAGACCUAUGCCGCUACUCCGUCAUGAAAAGAGCAAAUGUCCCAAGGCCUCUAGCAGGGAGCCUCGUGAGAGGGAGCGUGUCCGUUUCAGUGAGAAGGUCCAGUACCAUGGCUACUGUCCAGACUGUGACCUCCAGUACGAUGUAGACAACAUAGAACUACAAUUGCAGGCUGAGUUGAAUGACCUGAGACUCAGUCCUGUGCAUUGCUGCUCUUCCUCCUCCCCUCCUGCAUCCCAUGCUCUUGCUCAUGAUCUAAUGUUGGAAAAUGGCAGCCUCUCGGUCAGCCGCAGUUUCCCACCAACAGCAAACAUUCCUCUACCUUGUGUGCCUCCUCACUUGCCUUCCCUCAAACCCCCAAAAACAAUCCUACGCAAAUCAACUACCACCACUGUUUGACGCCGAAUCCUUUGGUAUGUCUAACGUAACAAUUCUUGAAUCAUUCAUAGUGUUUCCUACUUUAUGAGCACUUUCUACUCCAGUUGAUCCUUGGAUUAUCCAAACAGAGAGAUGAAGGGUUGGGAAAUGGAAAACAAAAGGAUGGAUAAAAUGAGUGGAAUAGAGAGAAAGGCAUCGCCACGUGUGCUAAGGCGUACACACUGAGUGAUCAGGAAGAAGCGGGCCCGCUGAGAUGCUUGAGAUAAGAGUAAAAGGGAUGCUUGUUUCAUCGACCCUGGUUGAUCAGGGAGUGAGGAUCCAGAGCUGAGGCCAAGCAUCAACCCUUUUUUUUUACAGCUGGCUCUCAACCAACAGCAGACAAGAUCUUCUAGACAAAUUCAUACUGUGACUUUUGAGCACUAAAAACCUGCAGGCACAUGUUCCUGUGAAACUGAGGACACAGCAAGGGCAGGCACUGUAUGCAAUUGCAUACAGACAGGGAUUUUUUUUAGCUGUGGAAGUGAUAUUUUUGUUACAUAAAUAGUUGGCUUAAAGAUUAUAUUGCUGCUGAGAUCCUAUCAUCAAAGGUAAAGAGGCAAUGAAUGAUGCGGUUACUGAUCUGUGUCCAGACAUCAUGUUCAUUGUACAUCAAACUCUAUGUGCUCAACUGGUGCCAUACAAGCUAUGUUUUUUUUUUACAAUAACAUGCAGAGGUACAGACAGUGUGGCAUAGUUACAGCUUUAAAGGAACCUUGAAGAAGUAAUAAUUUGCAUCAAAUUUUUUUUGUAUACAAAUAUACAUGUACAUGUUUGAUAUCUAUAUAUUUCAUGCAUUUUUCUACAGAGACUUUAAGAUUUAAAGAGAUGAUAUUUUUGAUAUUUUGUUGGACGAGGCUUUCAUUCCCUCAAGGUAUGUGUUUUUCAACAGGGCAUAGCAGGAUGAGUUAUUUAUAUAUAACAACAGUAUAGUGUUUGUAAUGAUGACAAGUAUGUUUCAGUCAACAGAAUGGGCUGUACUGUGAGAAGGGAAGGUGGAGAAGAUAAAUGGCGUAAACCAAAUACCUAGUUGUGCUUUAGCAGACGGGAGGCAUGGGGCUGAAUCAAUGCGUGACUGGCUCUUCACUCUGUCCCGUCAUCACGGUGUUUUUCUAUGCAUUUCUGUGGGGAGGCUGGUGGGUAUGACACGUAGGGUGCUCUGCUCACCGUAACACAGUGUGAAGAAAUAUCCCCUCUCCUUUCCUCAUAUGAUGUCAGCCAGGCUAAUUCUGCAGUCAAUUUGGGUGUUCCCAAAAGGAAAGUUGUUGUUCCUUAGGCCAGUAAGUCAUUUAUAAUUAAAUUAUAAUGGUAAUAUUGUAUAUUUCUAUAGCACUUAUCCAAGAUUACAAAGUGCUUUAGGAGGCCAAAACAGAAAAAUACAGAAAACAGAUAGCAAAAAUUGUACAUAUAGUGCACACAUUUUCAUAGCCCAUUUUGGCUCAGUAAAAGAGUGAGGACCUUACACUGGAGAGCAAAAGAAAAAAAAACAUUUCUUUGAUACACGCAGCCGCUCUUCGCAUUCAGACUGGAGGUACCACAGUUGGAACUCCACCUCUUUAUUCUUACUGGACACAGAGACAAGCAAGAAUCAGUUUCAAAGAUGAAUGGAAUAUCUGAAAAAGCUGUCAUUGACAUUUUGUUUUGUGUGUGUACACAAACUAUUGGAAAAUAACUUGUGAUAAGUAAACACUUUGCACUUAAUGGUGGUGUGUCUGUAUAUAUUUUAUGGACUGGGCAAUAAUUUCAAACUGAGAAUGUGUUGAUUUUAUGUCUGUAUCU